rnacentral:rRNA from 1 species
CAGAGGGUGCAAGCGUUGUUCGGAAUUAUUGGGCGUAAAGCGCGUGUAGGCGGCUUUGCAAGUCGGGUGUGAAAGCCCUCAGCUCAACUGAGGAAGUGCGACCCGAAACUGCAGAGCUUGAGUACCGGAGAGGAUGGCGGAAUUCCCCAAGUAGAGGUGAAAUUCGUAGAUAUGGGGAGGAACACCGGUGGCGAAGGCGGCCAUCUGGACGGAUACUGACGCUGAGACGCGAAAGCGCGGGGAGCAAACAGGAUUAGAUACCCUGGUAGUCCACGCCGUAAACGAUGAGAACUAGGUGUCGUGGGUGUUGACCCCCGCGGUGCCGUAGCCAACGCAUUAAGUUCUCCGCCUGGGAAGUACGGCCGCAAGGCUA